CCCUGCCCUGCCCGCCCUGUGGUCAGCCGAGUGUCCCAGGAAGGGGCUCCCCACCCUGCUUUCCUGGUGCUCGCUGAGGAGAGAGGGGUCCAGGCAGCGGGGGAGGUCUGCGUUCUGCCUCCGGGCCCACCACUGCUGGCUCUCACUCCUGGGUACUUCUGAUAGGACAGGCGGUGCAGACGGUGCGUGGAUUCGCACCAUCUUGCUCCCUUCUGACCAGGAAAACCAAGCCAAGUGUUGGGCAGCAGGAAGCGCUGUUCAGUUCAGAUGGCCCAAAGCACAUCCUCACACUCUGGUUUCCUUCCAGCCCAAGAGUGUCAGAAAAUACAGCGCACUGUUGUUUGUUUUAGGUAGUUCCUUUGUUUUUCUUUCUGGUUUUUCAGAAAUAGCUUUUGGAUUAGAUUUGGGUUCUGAUUCAGUAAAAAAUGAAAAUUGGGGUUUGGCCUCGUGUGGUGCUCUGCAAGUGAAAAUCCAUGCUGGUCCACCGCAGGAACGUGAACACAGGCGUUGGCCCAGCCAGUUUUCCUGAAGUCCCCUCAAUGCUGCCGCUCCUGGUCUUCAGGCAGAAGGGUGUCCACUCACCCAUAGCCUCCACGAGGGAGGCCCUCAGAGCAAAAGCCCAGUGCUCCCUUUGUGGGGAGCUCACAUUGCUGCUCUCGGUUGGGGUCUGCGCAGGCUGGGGCCGGAGCACACAGAUGACCCACGGCUUGGCUCCUCAAGAGUGGGGACACCGGGAGGGUGCAGCAGCCAGGGAGACAGCUGGUUGGAGGAUACAGACCUGACGGAGAAGUGUGGACAGAUGAACAAUGGUCAGCCAGGCCCGUGGAGCACCCCCAUGAAGAGCCACCAGGUGGCAGUCAUGAAGGGUGACCCCGCAGGACUGCGUGGGGGCAAUGCUGGGUUGCUGGGUGGGGGAAGGCAUUCAGCAGAAAGGUGCUGAUUGCUGACAGGACAGUGGAGAGUCCCAAUGAGCCAGACGGAGAGCAGCACGCAGCCCCUGGGUCCUUGCCUGCGUGACGGGGGAAGGCAGGGAGGGUCAUGUCUGGCUUUGGAACUUUCGGGACUAGGGAGCAGCCCUGCAAAGACGCCUGCAGCCCAGCUCCCAACUUUGGCUCAGGCUGGGGGCGAGGAAGGGCGUGGCCUUCCCCACCUCCACUGCCCUCCUUCCUGGCUGUCUUUCCAUCCUUGCCCGGGCCCAUCCUGGCAGCCAUGCCAGCCUUUUGAAAAGAAUGUCAUUGCUCCCAAGACAAGUGUGUUAGUUUUCUACUCCCAACAAUCACACACUUAGCAGCUUAAAAUGAUACACAUCUUCAGUUCCUCAGUUCCUGUGGGUCAGGAGCCCAGGCACGGCUGAGCAGCAUCAUGCUCAGGCUCGCAGGCUGCACAGCACUGGCUGGGCUGCGCUCUCCUCUGGAGGGCUGACUGGGAAGGACCUGCCUCCAAGCUCAGGGUGUUGGCAGAGUCCACUGCCUCUCUGCCGUAGGACUGAGCGCUGUGCCUCCUGCUGGCUCCUGGCUGGGGGCUGCCCUCAGCUCCUAGAGGUUGCUUACAGUUCCUCAACACAUGGGUUUCUCCAACACAACCACUUACUCCCUCAAGCCAGCAAGGAGGGAGUCUAGAGCCAGGCUGCUAACAAGAUGGAGGCCGGGACAACAGAAUGUAACCGUGGGAGGGAACAUUGUCUGCCACCUUCUGCUGAUUAGAGGGUAGUCACAGGUGCCGCCCACACCAAAGAGGAGGAGGUCACACAAAGGCAUGAACAGCAGGAGUCACAGACACCUUGGAGUCUGUCCACCACAGCAAGGAGGCCAGGUCACAUCAUGCCCCUCAGCUCCCAUGUGAUCCCAUAGCCCCUGAGGGUGGGGCAGCAUCUAACCACAGUCACAGCCUUCCGUUACCUCCCUCCCAUCUUCCUUUGCUCUCCUCUGCCCGGAGGAGUGGCACAUGGAAGGACAGUGCAGUAGUGGAGAGAGGCUGGGCCCUGGAGUCAGGCAGCCUGCACAUCAUACCACAGGCUCUCCUCUGCUCUGUGACUCGGGCAAGGUAAUGUCUCUGGGUUUCGGUUUCCCAUCUGUAAAAUGGGAAUAAAAAUGGUGCUUUCCCUGCUAAGGUUGUUAGGGUGAUUAGAAAAAAAUCAACAUAAACUCUCUGGCACAUGGUUGGUACCAAUAAACAGAAGCUGCUGUAAUUGUCAAUGUUGCAGCCCUGGAGAGGGCCUGGAAGGGGCCUGCUCGGCCUUGCUUCCCUCCAAGUCCCUCCAGCGGAACUUCUGGCUGCUGGAAGGCAGGAUGGAAGCCCCAGACCCUGAAAGCCCCAUAUUGCCGCCAAAAGAAGAGGUAAUGAGGAGCAGCAGCUGAGACGGUCAGAAGGGACACCUCUCCAUCUCAAAGGCUAAUGGCAGCCUUACACAGAGCGAGCCCUUUGAUUUCUCUUUGCUCAGUGUCUCCAUCUCCAGGGUGGAGCUGUCAGGCCUCUUUUAUUGUCUGGCAUAUUCCACUGUGGUCGUAAAUUCAACAUGACUAAGACCCAACCAUCGUCUUUCUUCCUAGAGCGGCUCCCCAUCCAGGCUCCUUCUUUAUGUUGUCCGUCUUGGCAGCCGACGUGGAAUCCCAGGGCUGUCCUCAAUCCUUCCUCCUCUCUGCAUCGGUGCCUUUGGCCUGGCCGGCGCCCAGGCCUUGGGCUGCAUCCCUCCAAUACUGGUCCAGGUCCCAUCUGUGCCUCCAUGGCCUCCCAUUGUGAUCUCUCUUCAGAGUCCACCCCACUGCCUGACCCAACUUACUGACUUGCUCAUGCUCAAAAUUUCAUGUAUCUCCCCAACUGCAGCUUACUGAGCCUGGCAUUCAAGGCUCUUUGCCAUAUGGCCCCCACCAUACAGCUCUAACCACAUCCUCUCCUGUUUCAUACCCACCUCUGCCCAAGACAGGCUCUGACCUCUGCAGCCCAGCCCAGAGCCUUCUCCUCUCACUGCAGUGCCUAUGAGAGCUCUGGAAGCAGGCAGACCUGUGUGGUCCCUUCAGAUGGUAAUUCUCUAUUCCCACUCAGAGCCAGGGUCUGGGCCAGCCCCAGGGGAAGAGGGCUCAAUGUCGAGUAAGAUGCCUAAAGAACACGCCAGGCCUGGCCCUUGCAAGCUGGCUUCUCUUCAUUCCCUUCCAGCUGCAACCUUGCUUCCUCCCCUUGGCCUCUGAGCCCUGCUCUCCUCUUUGCCAGACCUCUGCCAUCACCCAGUGUGAGAGUGUGUGUGUGUACCUGGGCCUGCUGGCUGAGGCUCAGUUUGGGCAUUGUGCCCUUUGCUCCUCUUGCUCAUCACUCUCUUGAUGCUGUCUGAUUUGGCAAGAUGUCAGCCUGGCUAAAGCGACUGAGGCACCCUGCUCCCCAUCCUCCUGGAUGUGGAGUUUGUAAUUUCACUCAAAAGAAUGGCUGGGGCUGAGGCUUCCAUUCUGACAACUCAUCGAGGCUGUCUCAGCAACUACAGAGCCCCCUCCUGAGUGAUUUCACAGGGCCACGCAUGCACGUGUGUUCAUGACCAGAACCCCGUCUGAACGAGUGCAUGUGUGUUCAUGGGCAUAUGUAUGGCAUGCCCUUGGCUGGGCCCUGGCAGAGAAUCCCGUGACUGGGUCUCUGAUCAAAUGACGAUUAUCUCAUGUGCUCUUGGCAUCCAACAGCCUUGGAUCCUAAAACACAGAUGGGGUGAGGUGAAGAGGCCAAUUCCUUUCUCUGGGUGCUGGGGGUGGGGAGCAGCCACCCCUACAAACUACUGAUGACACAGUGGCUCACACUCAGUAGUGAUUUGUGGCUUCCCAAAUGAUUUCACAUUAGUUAUCUCACUACACUCUUGUAAUUCCAAAGCCUAUUCUUGUUUUACAGGUGAAGAAACUGAGGCACAAGGGGGUUGAGUGUGCCCACUGUCCAAUCAUACAGUGGCCUGGCCACACCCCUGCCUGAGGCCUGCUCCCUACUUCCCUGGGGAGCGGUGGACCCAGCAGGGGCCCGGGCAGUGCAGCCAGUACAGCUCUCCUGGCCUGCACUCACUGCUGGCUCCCUCCCAGGGGAACUCUCCUGCCUCCAUGCUGGUCCUCCUCCUGGCCUGUGCCUGGUGUGGGCGUCUGUCCUGAAGUGGCCCUGUUCAUCACAGUGGGUAUGACCACAGACUUUAUCCAAACUAGGGCGGCUGAGAGUGCGCUGGGGUGAUAAAGCCAGACCUGGGAGUCAGGGCAUCAGCAAUGGGCACGAUCUGAGAUGACCCUGGGUGCAGUCGGUGGCCCCAACAGACCCUUAGAGCCCACGGCCACCCGGUGGGCCAAGUGCAGACCGGGAGCUUCUCCCCUCUGCCCAUUCCCAGGUUUGGUCUUCACUCCUGCAUGAAAGCUGUGCUGCCAACCUCUGUGAGCAAACUAAGGAUGGCUCCUGGGCCCUGCCCCACAGCUCUGGGAGCAAGGGGUCCUCGCUCACUGCCCCACCUCGCCUCCCCCUUCGAGACAGGCUGAGCAGAACCAGGGGUGCAUUUCAUCCUAGCGCAGGGCCUGCCCGAUUCCACAUAUAUUACAGCCAAUCACUCUUUCCCAACCUCUCCCACUCUGCGCCUGCCUGCUGCAAAUACUCAGUGCCAUGUGAGAUGCCGGCAGCUCAAGACAGCGUGGGUGGAGCUGCCCCUCACAUGGUGCACAUCCAUGGGGUCGGGCCACCACAAGCACCUGCCUGAGCUGAGGGAGGGGGCAGGAGUGGAUGGCUUGGAAGAUUCUGAUACAAAAUGAACAGCAAGGGCUGGGGGCCACACAACCGCAUCAACAGCCACUAGAGAAACAGGAGGUCGAGAGCCAUGCGAUAGGUGGGCAGCCCUCCUCUUCUGCCAGGCUGCCCGGACGAGCAGUGGGGGUGGCACAUUCCCUGACAAGGCUGAGGUUAGAGAACAGUCCAGAACCCAGAAAGACUGGUACCCUAGCAUCCUGGGCUCUGGGAGCUGAGCUGAGAGGAGUGCAUUCCUGUCUCCUCGACUCUCAUCUACAGAGGAGGUCCAGAGAGGCUAAGACAGGCCUAAGGCUGCACAGCCCAGGGUAGGUGCCCAGUGUUGGUUGCAACGAGGGUCUGCAGUGUGGAGCCAGACACAACUCAUGGAGAUUGUUUUGGUACCCAUGGGACCCUGGCAGGCCAGCAAGCAGGGCAUGUGGUCUUGGCAAGGCCUGGGGACAGGGACCAAGCAGGCCAGGUAACCUGGCGGGCCUGGCCCUGGGACCAGGGGUCCAUGGGCAAGGCUGGGGUUUGGAAGCCCUGGAGGGUGGGCAUGAGCAGCCAGUACCAGUCUGUCCCUACACUGCUGUCCUCCCACCCUUGUGUUGUCCAGGCUGCUCUCUGCCUCGGUUUCCUUUGGUGCUGAUGUCCAUGUGGUUGUGGAUGAGGGGGCUGACUAGGGGAGACUGUCCGGAGCUCUGCAUGGUCUCCUCUUGAAGCCUUCCGCAGCGUGCCCCUCCCCAGGCCUGAGCAUUCACUGUGACCAUGCAGCAAAUGUCCAGCCCUGUGACCUGCUGGGCACUUGCUGGUUUCCAGGUUUGCCCUCAGACACCCAGGCCAUGGGCUCCUCUAGGGCACCAGGCCCUACUCACCUCGAUCCCACCACAGGGCCCAGGCCCUACACAAAGCAGAAGCUGCACCAAUAUCUCAGACUCAGUUUCCCCAUCUGCAACACUUACCAGGCUAUUUUUGGGAUCAAAUGAGGGAAUCCAUGGAAAACAUCUAGCUUGGCGCCUGGCACACAGUGAACACUAAAAAUGCCCGAAAAUAUAAAAUAUAAUAGUAACUGUAACAGCAGCAACCACCUUGUUUUAAAAUUCAGGUGAAUCCAAGUGCCAGCAAGAGAAGGGAACAAGCAAGAGGGCGCCUGGCUGCUUCCUGGGGGCCAGCUCUGAACAGCCUCUGGGGCAGUUCUUCUGGCAGACUCCUCCCUCCCAAGGAUGCGGCUGUGCUGAGCUGGGCUCUGUGGAAAGCAGGCACGCUGGCAUGUGGCAGUGUGAUAAACGGGGGUGUGUGCACGUUCCUGGAGUGCCAGCAGCUUGCCACACGCAGGGCAGCCAUCCCCCUAAACCCUGGAACUCUGGCCCAGCUCUCCCUGCCCUGCUCUGCUCUCCAGGCUGAGCUGGCUCCCUUCCUCCAAUCACGUCCACAGCUUCCCCAGCGCAGCCUCACACAGCCAGGCGGCACUGCUUCUGUUGUCCCUCUUUUACAGAUUUGGACACCAAGCUGGGAACAGAAAGGCCUUGCGACAGGCAGACAGCUGGGCCUGUCCUGAUGCUGGACGCCUCCCUGGGCUGCCUCCCCUUGGCCCUAUUAGUCCUGUGUCCCUGCCCAGGCCCCAGACACGCACUCAGGGCAGGACUGGGGACUGUGGAAGGUCAGGCGUGCCCUCUCCUUCUCUUCUUCAGCCUCCAGACCUGUCAGAGAACAGAGACUCUCCUCUCCAGCAGUCUUGGGGCUGAGCCCUGGCCAUCGGCAGGGGUCUAGGCCAUGUGCCCCUGGGCCCCAUCAUUUCCGGCCCUUUCUCUCUGGAAGCAGGCCGGGUUCUUGGAAAGUUCCACUCUCACCACCUCCCACCUCAGAGGCUCCCCCACCUCCUCUGUUCCUCCUGCCCUAUCCCUUAGCCCCUCCCCUGUGGUGUCCUUGAACCCUAUUGCCUGGGUGAGAAAUGAUUAACAAAGGUGUUGCAGGGGGUGGGUGGGGACCUCAGUCUAAGAAGGCCCCUGAGCCUGGGGUGGGCAGCCUGUGCUCCCCACAAGAGCAAGCAGGCAGGGAUGUGAUGAAUUGAGGGUCCCUAAGUCUUGGUCCCCCAGAUGGCGGAUCACGCUGACAAGAUCUGUACGGUUUACGGGCCGUGUGUACAGUUAGCGACAGGGCGCCCGCCCCGAGGAGGAGCCUGCACAAGCGAAGGCACAUGCCGGGGCACGCUUGCCACAUACACAGGGGCUCCAGGCCAUCCAGGGCUCCUGCCCCAGGGAAGGGCUCUGGAUAAGGGGCAGCGUCCUCUCCAGGGACCAGGAGGCGGCAGGGCAGGGAGGGGACAGGGUGCAGGCAGCCCUCACUGGCCUGUCCCUCUGCCUGCAGUGCUUGUCCCUCACCGUCCCUCCACCUGCUGAGCUGCUGCUCAGCCUUUGAGGCCGAGGCCGGGCCCACUCAUCCUCGACUGGCACACGGGGCUGGUCCCUGAGGACACGUGCUCGGUGCUGGACGGUGACGGAGCAAUCAGAGGCCCAAACCAGACACUCUCCUCAAAUUCGAUGGGCUCCUUCCCUCUGUUCUCCUGUGACACCUGGUACGGAGGUCGACUUGGAGCAGGGAUGUACCUGCUGGGCCCUCCACUAAGGCAGCCCCUGCAAGGGAGGGACGAGCGGGGAGAAGCACCAUUACUGAGCACUUUUUUCUCCAUGGCCUGGCAUCAAAGAACCUGCCAGCUAGGUGACUGGAAAAGCAAAAUGUGGCACAUGCCUGCAACAGGACACUAUUCAGCCAGAGAAAGGAAGGACAUCCUGACACAGGCUACAGCACGAUGAGCCUCGAGGACACGAUGGUAGUGAACUGAGCCAGUCACAAAAGGACAACCACUGUGUCACUCCCCCUCAAUAAGGAGGCACCUGAGGUGACCCAACUCAAAGACACAGGAAAUAGAAUGAUGGUUACCUGGGGCUGGGGGGAUGGGCUGGGGAGUUGUUUAAUGAAUACAGUUUCCAAUUUGCAACACGAAAAAGUUCUGGAGAUGGAUGGUGGCACGAUAUGAAUGUACUUAAUACCACUGAAAACUUAAAAAUGGUUAAGAUGGUAAAUUUUGUGUUGUGUUUUUUUACCACAGUGAAAAAAGAACCCAUCAUCCACAACGUCUGGCUGGAUCGAUCUGUCAACAAUGACACAACCCUUAGGGCUGGACCUGGGGCUGGGGGGUCAGAGGGCUUCCCUUGCAACAGGGCUGGGUGGGCACCUGUGUGUGGCCUCAGGUGGGGCUGCUGGGUGCACCUUUCUGCUCGUUGUCAUGUGAGCGUGUCACCAUGAGAAAACAGACACAGGGCACGUCUUGGGGAAGCACCCCGCCUCCCCGAGGUUCCAGACAUGCCUCUUGGAGUGAGCAGGAUGUGGCCGGAUGAGUGUGGACACACACACGACAACACAUAUGCUUGCACACACACAGGCAUGCACACACAGGGCAGCCUGCUGUGUCUCCCAGUCCUGGGACCUGGGGAGGGGUGGGCAGUGAGAGCAGGUGGGACACUUGUUCCGAGAGAGAGAGAGAGAGAGAGAGAGAGAGAGAGAGCGAGCAAGAAAGAGAGAGAGAGAGAGAGAGAGAGAGAGGGAGGCUGAUUUGUAGGGGAGAAGAACGUAACAUCAACAAGUGAUGAGCUAGGCGAGAACACUUCAGCUUAAGUUCAGAAACUCUUGGAUGGAGAAAGAAAAUAGCACACGGAGAGGCUGUCCAUCAACCUGAGCAGGGUGGUAGGGGGAUCGACCUGGCACCCGGAGCCGGGGUUCUGGGGCCAUGAAGGUCAAUCUCCCUUGGAGCGCCAGCCAGUCCCUCCCCUCUGUGCUCUGUGCCUGAAGCGGGCAGGGGAGAAGACAGCAUGGGGCUGAGCUGGGAACUAAGGACGUGCCCAGGAAGCCGUGGGAAGGAGGUGUCCCCUCAUGGUCCCUGGUGUGGGCUGCUGGCACUGGCUGCAUCAUUCCAGGCACUUUGUCUCCAGGGGACACAGUGCUCACACCUCUGGGAGUCGGCACUUACCUCAAGGGUGUCAGGAUUCUGGUGAUGGGUGAGGGGUGCUAAGGACGAGACCAGGAUUUCCUCAGGCUUAGAGGACACCCCCAGGGAGUCUCCAGUCAGCAAAUGGGGACCCUGAGGGCUUCAGGUCUGGGCUGAGCGGGAGCUGGGCAGUCCCAGAGCCCAAGUCUCAAGCCAUCUGGGGUCCCAACAGUUCCCCCAACCUGAGGAGCUCCAGGCUGACCUGUUCUCCCGGUCAGAGUGUGCACGGACACAGCAUAGCAGGCCAACGAGUCACUGAUUUAAUUAAAGUUUUGUAUGUAUUUUUAAUUCAUUGCCUGGGGCCUGAAGGAUCUGACCUUCCCCAGGGCGAUGUCAGAGGUAGUGCAGGCUGGUCCUCCUGGGCCAGCUGUCAGGAGAGAGAAGGCAUGUUCCAGCCUGGGCAAAAGGGGCCCUGGGGUCUCAGCGCCGGCUGCUUCCCCUGACCUGGGAGGCUGCUCCUGCCGCCCUGCUACACUGCUCUGUCCUGCCAAGAGGGAAGGCAGCUGGACAGACAGCCAGGACAGGGAGUCGGGAGACUUAGAUCACAGUCAGGACACAGCACUAAAGGGCUGUGUGACCUGAGACAAGAGUGGAACCUCUCUGGGCACUGGUUCCCUUAUCUAUGAAAAGUAAGAAGCCACCUAGAGUCACAGAACCCUAAUUCUGGGAGAAGCCUUGCAGGCCAGACAGCCUCCUGUGUCCAUCUCUAGUUUGUGGCUAGGGACGGCCAAUUCUUGAUCUCGGUUCAUUUCCUCUCCCCGUCUGCCUUCCAGCAACUUGGUUGGCAGGCUCCCUUCUCUCUCUUGCCUCCCUCUCCUGGGGUGUUCUGUGGAUUGCAUACCGAGGUAAGUGGUAUAAUUUGGGAGGGAAAUGUUCACGUGGUUCAUGCUCCUCAGAGUUUAGACGAGACUGAGGCUCAGGGAGACUCCCUCACACAGUGAGAUGCUGACGCUGCUGUGCCUGUACCUGAUCGGCCAGCUGAUCUCUGAACCCUGGCAGGCCCAGGGCCCUUCUCCCUCCUGGCCACUUCCCUCUGCUGAGCUCAGGGCAUCGGACUCCUGGCUUUCUUUCCCUCAGGACCAGGGAGGGGGUGAGCCCAGCAGAGGGCCCCUCCAAGCCCCUGCUCCAUCCCUACUCAGCAAGAUGCUGGUCGCAGCUGGGACCUCAUAUGCUCCUUUUAUUUUGAACUUCCAAGGACUUAGGAAAUGCUUUCUGGUGAGAGUGAUUCCAAAAAAACACAAUUUCAGUUGCAUCCACUUCUGAACAUGUUAGCCCCUGUUUACAUGGCAGUGUUGACUUACAAAGGAGGACACACUCGUCCUGUCCAUUUCUCUCCCCAGGGCUGAGUGGUGCAAGUUAUCAUCUGGCCACGUUGCCAUCACAGGUGAGAAAACUGCAGCUCAGGAAGGGUCAGAGAUGUAAGCAAGGUCACAUGCCCAUUACUGACAGCCUGGCACCUGGCUUCGUGCCUGGCACAAAGCAGGCUGUUCAAUGAGUGUUUGUGAAGUGAACUGUUAAACGAGUAAUAAACGCUGCUGAGCAAAGCACUCACCGUCGCAUGUUCCAGUGAUUCACACAGUCACCUGUCAUGGCCUAGGCCCGCCUCACAAACAUCCUGUUAUCAGCCCCCUUUUAGAGACGAGAAAUCUGAGGCACACAGAGGUUAAGGAAUGUGCUAUGGACACACAGCUAGUAAGUGACAGAGCUGGGAGCCCCGUCAGGCUCCAGAGUCCAUGCUCUUUGUCCCCUUGCUAAAUCUAGAGUCCAGAGCAGCACUUUCCAGUAGAACUUUCUGUGAUGCUGGGAAUGUCUGUAUCUGUGCUGGCCGAUACGGUAGCCGCUGGCCACGUGAGCUCUUGAAAUGUGGCUGGUGUGACUGAGGGACUGCCCCUUAUGGGAAGAAAAGCAGCCCGUCCCACAUCUAGUGUUGGGCUCUAUGGUUUCUUAAUGAUGGUCAAAGCAACAGCCCAGAGUCUUGAACCCAAAGACACUCACAGCCUCAGAGGCCAGACUGCUCAACUGCCUUGUAAAGAGGCAGGAAGAUGGAGAGAAGCGAAGGGGAGAGGUGAAGGAAGGCACCCAGCCACACACAGUCACCCAGCAAGGACCCACAGAACCAGGUCCCCAACCUCAGGUCCUGUCCACUCCUAAUACCAAGGCCAUGCCCUCUUGUCUCUGCUCCCUCUGCUUCCUCCAUCCCUCUCUCCUUCGUGGAGCAGUAAUGAUGGUUCACAUUUCCCACUUUAACAAGAAGAGAGAAACCCUGCCCACGGUUCUCAGACUGAGCCGUGAGAUCCACGGCCCUGCGGGCUAGGUUCACCCCCAAAUCCAUUCAACUCUUGGUGAUCCAGACCAACACUCUCCACUCUGGGCUUAUCAGUGGCAAAGCUGCAAUCCCUGCCAGGCAUGUGGCCGGGAGGCGCUGCCCUGCUGUCAGCUGGAGUGUACAGGGAGCGCAGGCUUGCGGGCUUGGUUUAACAUUGGCUGUAGCUAAACCUCAUUAGAAAAGUAAAUUUGCUGUAGCUGCAAAAAAAAAAAAUGCAGCAACCCACAUAACCCUUCCAAAGCUAAACAGAAAACUCUGUUUCUGGAUAUUUGAUGCUUUAUGUUCCCAGCACUGGCCCAGAGCCUGAAACACGGUAGGCGCUCAGUCAGCAUGUGCAGAAGCAAACGGAAUUCUGAGCGAUCUCUGUCCACCUUGCCGUCUUUCAGCAGGAAUAAGAGGCCACAGAACUGGAGUUCUGGUAAAUUGCAUGCAUUUUUAGACAGCCGUUGCCUGAUAAACUGGGACGAUUACAUCGACCACUAAUUAGACAUGGAAAGUUGUUGCUGUCGCUCGGCAAGGAGACACUAGAGUGUCCUUGCAAAAGAGUGCACCCCAGGAGGGCCUGGACGAGGCCCAGAGUCUGCAGGUGGGGGAACCAGAUGGGGGGCCCCAUGGGAGACAGGAGAGACUGCAACGAUUCCCACGUGAUGACUCCAGGGUUGGCCAGAGAAUUGCUACUCCAAAUUCUACAGCCAUCCAGAUCCUGGAAGAAUGUGGGGGAGGGUAUACAAAAUAAACACAUUAACAUUCAACUAGCACUUCAUGGGAAAGUGGCCUGGUGAGAGGAGGGCUCCUCGGUUUACAGCCUGGGAAACCAAGGCUCAGAGGCUCCGUCUCCCCAAGUCCACUCAGCUGGUCACGAAGGGAGCAGAGACGGAUGCCCUGGCCCGGCUGCCAGCCUGUGCUCCACGCUGCAGUGCUUCCAAGCUGGAUGCACUUCAGCAGGGUCCCCAGAGGUCUUCUUGCCUGGAGGCUUGGGGUGUAUGAAGGGGGUUUUUCUUUUUCCUUCUCCCCAGGUGUCAAGCCUCCUCGGAGCCCACACCCUUCCCCACCCCACUGCAUCCCAGGACCAGGAGGGUGGUGGGUCAGGGGCCAGGACAUGUGGAGGAGCCCUCAGCACUGGGGAAUGGGCCUGGGCAAGGGGUCUCCAUGAAUAUCCUGCUCUCACAGCCCGUCCCCUUCUGCCUUUGGGCCUCCCUCCCACCCACCUGCAUUCCUCAGAGCCACAGAAAGACCCUUCCUCAGGAGACCAUGCCACUGCUCCACUGCGGGGCCCUGCAGGCGGAUGACUGCCAGUACUGGGGAUCUUGGGAAGCAGGGUUCCUGGGCUGGCUCCCACAGCACCACUGGGCGAGCCAGACUUCUGCCUUGGGGCCUCCCUCCUUCGUUCUGUGAACGUGCUUGUGUCUUUGUCUGUGGCCUCAUGCUGGCUUCUUUGCCUGCCUCAGACACUCUCAGAUUCUUUCUCUUCCUGAGCCCUGCCUCUCUCUCCAGUUCUCAGUGGAAGAGUGCUCUCAGGCACCUCUGUGCCAGCUCACUCCUCUCUUCCAGCCAAACUGAACCCACAUGCCCCCUGUCCUAGAGCCCGACUCCCGCUCAGCUCGCCUGCAUCUCUUACCCGUGCAAAACUCCCGCCCUGCCUCAUCGCCCUGUGCUCUGCAGCACGGAAGGACAGUGACUUGGUCCCCCCGCCCCUCAAAAACUACUGUGGGACAGUCCACGCCUGUCCAGGGGCCUGGGGCAGGGACUAGGCUAGUCCUACCAGCAUCUUCCUCUGAAGCCCCUGGUCUCUGCUGCAGGAUCCAAUCCUGUUGCUGGAGCUGUCCCACCUCAGUGAUUUAUCUCGCCACGCUUCAGGAGGACCAGUCAGUGCCUGCUCCUCUAGAAAUCUAUAUGCACUCAUCCAAUCCAGCACAUAUGAGCUUCUGAUACGCCUGCACAUGGAUGAUUCCCAAGCGUCUCCAGAUCAGGCACAGAAAUGGCUCCUGUGCUGAACGGGCACAGACCCACCGCCCCUCCCUGUUCCACUAACUCUAGCAAGCCUUCUUGCUCCCACCAAAAGGGGUAGAGGAAAAUGGCACACAGCUCCAAAACCUUUGGGGGUGUUGGCAUGGACGGGGCAGAGUGGACAGUCUGUUUGAGGGUCUCAUGGGGAAGAGUCUUCAUUCCGUAUUAAGGAAGGACUUGAUGUUUGGUCCAGCAAGGCCAAUACUGGUCACUAGCUAAGCAGGUUCUGGGAGGAAAUGUCUCAAUCCCUGUGGUGGCUAUUGGCAGAGGCAGCAAGACAUGAGGCACAGAAGACAAAUUUUAGAAACUCUAGAGCAAUGGUCCUGCAAGGCCACCUCGCUCAUAACCCCAGUAACUUAGGAAGCUGUGUGCCUCUCAUCUCCACACAAACAUACACGACAACUUCACAGUGCUAUGCACUAGAACAUCCCUACCCCAUCCUUUUACACAGCGCAUGCCACACAACCCAAGCUCAGGGUCCCAAUGGAUACUCCAUCCAGAUUGGUACCCUUGCAGGUGGAGCUGCACCCACCAGCAUGGGGCUAGCAACUGUCAAGGCCCCCUUUAGAGUCUGUGAAUUAGAAAUCCCCAGAGUUCCUCAGCUCCAGCUUCUACAAGAAUCCAUGUACAUGGUGCAUGGCUGAGACUAGGCCCUCCUGGGAGAGAGAAAGGGGAAGGGGAGGCUGGUCAAGAUCUUGUUUAUGUGUGUGUGAGGGGAGGGGGGCUCUUGACUCUAGCUGCUUGGUACCAGGCUGUCACCUCCUCUCCCUGGCACUGUUGGAUCCUGUGGUUUCCUCCUUUCUUCUUUCCUGCCUCAUCUCUCAGCUUCCUUUUCGGAAGCUGUACCCUCUAACUCUGGGGGAUCAGGAUGUCAGGUCUGAGCUCGAGUGCGGGAGGAGGGUGGGGAACUUGACCAUGCCUCCUUUCUUCUCCUCGGUACACUAAAGGUCCCAAGGACCCUUUGCCCCCUUCUUGCCACCUCUCAGCCCCUUAGCCUCCCCAGCAGAGCUGCAGAGCCUGGGUCCCCUGAAGAGAGUUAACUUGCCAGUGCCUGCAGCUCAGAGCCGUUGGGGAUGACUACUGGGAGGCAGGGGUGCGGUGGGGGUGCUGGCCCCUGACUCCUCUGGACCCCCAGGAACUACCUGCUGAGAUGGAAACGGACCAGCGAGCUAAAAGCCUGGCCAGUUGUUGGAAGCUGCUGAGAACCAGCUCUCCCCUAAUGCAGCCCAAGGAGGGCAGGCGGCGCCCAGGUUUUGUUUCUCAGCCCCUUGGUGGCAGCGCCUCCCAGCCCGGGCCUCCUUCCUGGCCCCCUUUCCAGCUGCUUCCACUGUGCGCACAACCCAACCCAAUACACAGACACACACACACACACACACACACACACACGCACCCGGGAGGACACGGCGUGGUUACUGAUGGGGACGCAUAAAGGGGCUCUGUGCGCGGCCGCGGCGCCCGCGGGGGCGAAGGCGGCGUUGGGGGCACUGACCUGCGGCGGCGAGUCCAGAUCGCUCCCGGCGCGGUCCAUCGCGGGCGGCGGCCGCUACGCCCCGACCCCGGCGUCCCCCGGCUGCUGCCCUGGGCCGCGCGCACCUCCCUCUCCGGGGUCUCUCGGGCUCCGGGCCCCGGGGGGCCACUUCAUAGCCGGGGUCCGCGGCCCGCCCGCCUGCAGCCCCCGCCCGGCCCCGCAGCCCCCGCCCGGCUCCUGGUGGACUCCGCGAGGCGACGGCCGGAGCCUGGGAGCGCGCGGGAGGCGCGGGCAGGGCGGCGUGGGGGGCGGGGGAGACGGAGAGGGGAGGCGCGGGGGGCGGGAGGAAGCAGGGGGCCGGCACCAGGGGCGCGGAGAGGGAAGAGCGCGGGCGGCCUGGGCGCGGGGCCGGAGCCUAGCCGAGCGGGCCGGCGCGGAGUCCCCUCGGCGGCGGCAGAUGAUGCGCCGGGGCCGCCGCGGCUGUGACAGCGCCUCCCGCCCCGCCCCCACGCGCGCCCGCCCCGCCCCGAGCGAGCGCGAGCUGCCGGCGGGACCCGCGCCGCUAAUGGAGGCAUGAGACGCGAUGGGAGAAGAGCCCUGCGGUGUGGGGGAGCAUCUCCCUGAGGCGAACUGGGACCAUUCUCUGUUGCCUUGGGUCUCCCCCAGUAACUGCUGGCCAGUCCACAGACUCGGCCACUGGGCACUUGGCUGCAGUAGCACAAAGCACAAGAGGUGGUCAUCUGGGCUCUGAAGGCUUUAAGAGAAAGGACACAUCUGACUCGGAAAGUGCCCAGAGCAAUCAGGGAAGAAGGGAGCCCUUACACCCGCAGAGAGAAAGGGGAAAGUUGUAUUUUCAAGAUAAGCUUUGUUCAGGAGACCUUGAUGUUUCCAUUUUGUUUUUGAUAGAAAAGCCUCUCUGAAUAAGGAGCAGCCCGCGGCCCCACCUGGUGCAAGAGACGCUGGAGGACUGUGCCAGGGCUCGCUCUCUGCGCAGCUGAGAGGCAGGGAGUGCUUCCUCUGGGUGCGGGCCGAGCUGGGCCCGGAGGCCGUGCUUGUCCUGCCGGCCCUCAGGCCCUCAGAGCUCGCGUGUGCCCACCUUACACACCACCGCUCAAGGACCUUCUGCUUCUGAACGGGGAAACGCUCCUUCCCCAAGCUGCUGUCUCAGAUCUGACACUUCCUGACUGCCUAUUUCCAAGAACAGACUCCCAACGCUGUGGCCACGGGUCCCAGGCAUCCUGAAAUGUGGCCCUACUUGACCUUGUCCUCCAUCUGGACUGAGCUCCCCUUUCUCCAGCUGCUCAAGGAAGGCCCACUCGUUUUUCAAUACUGCCAUCACUGAAAGAAGUGUGUCAGAAGGAGGUGGGUACUUGACCCCCGUUCCUCUCAUCCUUGGGUAGGAGAACUUCCUUUUGGAGCUUUCCUACUAAGAAGCCGUUCUUUUGAGCCCAAUGACUCUCAGAGAGAAGCAUGACACAGAGAUAAUUAGUUUUUAAAGGUGCUGAGGCGUCACAGCCGCGGACAGCCGAGCCUCUCUGGGCCAGCGGAUGAUGCUGUGGGAAAGUGAUGCAGCCGUUCUUCCUGAUCCUUGGAGCAGGGCGCCUUGGUUGUGUGCCUGGCCUCAGGCAAAGGGGUGGGCAGCGUGGAGGACGUCUCCUCACGGUCCUUGUCUGUUGUCUGUGCCCCACACAGAGCUCAUCCCCUCCCUGCUAUAUCAAAGGCUUCUUCCCUUAGCAGAUGCCUCCUGCGCUGAGAAUACUACAGUCAACAAGGCGUGAACCUUCCCCUCAAACUAGCAUCAAAUCCCGGUUCCUCCUUCUCUCCUAAGUUCCAGGCUGGCCUGUGUGUCCAACUCAUACUAUUCAAAAUAAAACCCACCGUCUUCUAACUUUUCUAUGGGUUUCUGGCACCGCCAUUCUCCUGAUCACAUCUCAAACCCUAGAGUCACCAAUGACCCCCCCUUGCCCCUCACCCACGUCCAUCCCCAUCUUCAUGUCCUGCUGGUGCUCCCUGUCCACAUCCUUCUGGCCGGGGCCAGAGCCCUGACUUAGGCCCUCUGGCGGCACCUCCAGGCCCCAGAAAUAAUCCCUGCCUGGGCUCCCUGUAGGCUGCGGGCAGAUUAAUCGUCCCAAGGCUCUGCUUUGAUGAUACACUUUUACAGUCACAUAAAAAGAAGAAUUUAGGCAGUCAGUCGUGUUAAAUCUUAACCGUCUUUACACAUUUUUUAGUGCAGCCCGUCAAAAUCAUCACCAGCCUUGUAGGUCCCCCAGUUACAGUGUCCAUGAUAGUACCUCCUGUGGCAGCAGGUAGCAGGCCCCUGGAAAUGCAGGGCACUGAGCUGAUGCUGUGGAAGGCGUCCUCUCUCAGGGCUGAUGUCACACGGCCACUGCCGGCGCCGACUUCGCCCAGGCCGUUUCCUGCUGGGUACCACCUGGGGCUUGAGGUUGCCUCCCGCUUCUGUUGCUCAAGAGGGACAAGAGGCACUCCCUGUGGCACCAUCAGCCUCCGUCCCCAGAGUGCUUCCCAACCUGGCUUCUUUUUCCAGUCAUGAUGAACACAGAAAACAACGUUUGAGUUGUGCACUGGACCAACCUGGAGGGGACUUGGGGGUGUCUCUAUGGGACUCGGUGAAAACAGUCAUUACAUUCUUGUCCUAUGCCUUAAGGAACGUGUGUGUGCUGUUGGAGCAAAGAGUUGGACACCACCGCAGGGCACAUCGCUCACCAGUGGUGGGUGGACACAGACGGUUGGGUCCUUUGCCUACAGCUGCACCUGCCAGAAGGCCCUGUCGAGCCCCUCGUGCCGCGACCACAACUGGCUGCUCCUUGGCUGCAGGCCAUGCCCUUGGGUGAUGGGGACACAGAUCCUCCCGUGGGCCCCUUACCAAGCUACUGUCCGGCCAUGCAGGGAGCAUGGCACUGAGCAGCAUGUGUGCCUGUCCUGUGCCGG
ensembl:lncRNA